rnacentral:lncRNA from 1 species
AUUUCCUUGUAUUGUUGGCUUACUCCUUGUUUCCAUUUCUUGCAGAUUGAAUGAGGUACUGAGAUACGCUGAAUUUCUUGAAGCAAAGUGACGUCGUCCCUAUAGUUUUGGGCGGGACGUCAAAUUUUCCAGUUGCAAGGGAGGUCGUUACUCCGAAGUCGGUCGUCAAAUUUUCCAUACCAAUAACCGAACUCUCAUCCAACACCACCAACAAGUCCACCAAUAAAACUUGUUCCCAAACAAGCAAUCUACGUCUCAACUUGAAUUCCCACCUCCACUAACAAUCUACCCAAACAUCCAUCGCACCUUAGACAGACCUAAAAACAAUAAGGUCUUUGGGCGAGACUUGCUUGUAACAAAAAAUUUAGGGGGCCUUUGGGCGAGACUUGCUUGUAAUAAAAUUUUUAACAUAGUGAAAUCCUUCAUGGGGUGUGGAGGAAUCGGACUACCCUUGGGUUAUAAGGGAAACAACUAUAAUUUUUGUGUCUUUUUUCUCUUUCCUAAUCUCUUUAUUUUUCAGCGUUUUGUUCAUACAUUCAUCAUAGAUUUCCGGAAAAAUAAAAAGAAAAUAGUCAUAUAAAUAAGGAAGAAGUUAUAUCUCCUACUUUCUAGUAACUGAACAAGAACAUGUGUUGUUUUUUUUCCUACUUUCUUGCUAGUCAUAUUAUUUACUACUUUAAUAAAUAUACUAGGGAAAUUGAGGAACCUCCUCAAGAACGAAGGAUCCAUCGAGCCUUGCCUGAUUCCUGGUUCGCAAAAGAUUGUCCAAAGCCACCCUAGUCUUUGGAUUUAUAAGGAAAUACUUAUCCUUGAAGCUUCAAACAGAAUCAAGAUAGAUGUUGAAUAACUUUUUGUUUUGUCCUAAAAGACACCCAACUCUUACCUCUUCUUUAUGUACCCCUCGUUUUAGAGUAAAAAUAGAGAAAAAGGACAUGGUGGUGACCUAUUUGAGAUAACCACACAUUAUCUCAAAGGACCGGAUGAAGGCCAUAAAGUUUGGAUGAAGUUGUGAGGGAGCAAGCUCGAGCCAUCUAAAAAUCCGAGAAGGGCAUUCUGAAGCUCAUAUCUUUGAACACAAUCUCGUACAUAGGAAUCAUGUUCAAGAAAAUAUUGAGAACAAAUCCUACUGUCCACCAAGGGAAUCCUUAUUUCCCAUUCCUCCUCUCCUAAGGAUCUAUCGCGGAAAAGGGGCGAUCAGUGGUUUCAGGAAGGGCAUAUAUCAUAGAUGUCACGGGAAAGGGGCGAUCAACGGUUUUUCUUAUAGCCAUAUAGAACCUAAAAAGGAAAAAGAGAAAAUAGUGAAUUCAACAUUUAAAUCCACCUUUCCUUAACCAAUUAGGUUAAUUUUGGCGAGGAAGAAUCUAAAAUGUUCCUUGCGAACGUCAUAGUCUAAUUGGAAAUCAAAGAAAAACCCAAAAAGCAGUCAUAUACAACUACGACCACCACCUAAGACAAUGUUUGGUUUGACUUUAAGUCUAAAACCACAAUAUCACACUAACAUUCAUGACAAUAAAAACGAAAAGAAAAACAGUAAACUACUUAAAACAUGGUGGUUUUCUGAAAAAUAAACACUUGUGUCACUACAAACCAUGAUGUAUCUUGGUGAAAACAAGCCAGUAUCAUCAUCCACCCUAAAACAUGAUUAGCGGUUUUAAACUCUCGGCAUAAAAAAGAUUAAAACAGAAGUGAUACCAAGAAAACCAACUUGUUUUGAGAGAUGAAAUGGAGAAUAAAAACUCUGCAGAAACUGGAAAUACUUUCAACGCACAAAGCUUCAAAUCACAAAGAAUGGCAAUAACUUGCAGAGGGUAAAAGUGUUUUGAAUGAACAGUUAAAACCUUUUAUACACUUGUUCAAAACAUUUGGGAACCCAGAGACGCUCAUCCAAUACAACGUCUCACAUGGGAAUCCACUUCAUUAAAACGAAGUGACGGUCCAUAUCCUAACAUCUAACUGAAUCAUAUGGUUCAUAAAAAUUCGUCAAGUAUCCUAACAUCAAGAUGGAUUUAAUGAUUCAUCCAACCCCUAAACUCUCCAAUUCUUACUCUCUAACUAAUUUGAGCGUCAGAAUGUCUGCAAGUACACAGCCCCCACCGUUUGAAGCUUACAAAUAUCAGGAACUACCGCACUAGAUUUUAAAUAUGUCUAGAAGAAAAAAAAAUCAUUAAUAUAUCUCGACAUAUGACAACAAUAUGGACUAAAACUACUUAAAAGAAAACAUUUGGAGGACAAAUUGUAAGAUUUUGUUUUUAUAACGGAAAAAAAAAUUAGACUAUUUUGUAGUGACUUAAACAUAUCAAACUCUGAAUUUUAUAUUAGCAUUAAUAUUGUAUUAAUUAUUGUAGUGACUUAAACAUAUCAAACUCUGAAUUUUAUAUUGAAAAAUUCUAUGGUGAAGUUACGAAAAUGACUUUUCUGAUGAAGUUAACAUUAUAAUAUCAAAAAUGUUGUGAGUAACACCCCACUGUUUGUACAAUGACAUCAAAAGUUCAAUCUCCAUAGUAUCAUUAAUUCAUCAGACUAAGAAGAAUACACUUAAUCUAAUUUUAUCCUACAUUGUUUUAAGUGUAACACCCCACAAAGUGUAACACUUAAGACUAUCACAUAAUAUCAUCAACUCUGUUUGCAUGUUAAAGAUGCCAACGAUAAAAUAGUACAUGUAAGUCUAAGAUGUUGCAAGCAUCACUAGAUGAAUUACUAUUUAUCAUGAAUAAGUAAUCAAUAAUUUAAAAAUGAAUCAAACAUUAAAAUUAAAAGUAAUUUUUUCAAAAAAGUCAGUUUCUUGACUGCACCGUAGAAACUCCCUUUUAUAUUAGCAUUAAUAUUGUAUUAAUUAAUUAGAUGUCUGCCGGCUCCCUUAAAAAAAAUAAUUAGAUGCGUGCCGUCUUUAAAUUGUAAAUUGUAUAUACAUGAUUGACAAAUACCUUUAAUAGUAAGAUGUCUUUUUUUUCUUUUUCUGAAUAAAUAGUAAGAUGUCUUCUUGUUUAGUUCCUAGAUCAACCACUUAAACUACAUCUUGGGACUUAGUGGAUGUAAUUUUAUUAAGGGUUAAAUAAUUAAAAGAUCGUUUAAAUAUAUCAACAUUUAAUUUUAGUCUUCUUAAAACAUUUCUUAGGUUUUGGUCUCUUUAAAAAUUUUCAUCAAUGAAAUUAAUUCUUACUUUUUAGUCAACUCACAUCGAACCUUCAUAUUUUUUAUUGAAAUUUUCUAAAAAUAUGUAGAAUAUUAUAACAGUCUCUAAAAUAAAAGGAAUUUUUUAACAAGGCAUGAAUUAAAUAUGAUUUUUUUUAUGUAUUUGGUGUUAAAAAAUUCAUACUAAAUAUAAUUCAUGUUUUGUUAAAAAAUUCUAAUUAUUUUUGAAAAAUAUUGUCAUAAUUUUCUAUCCAUUUCUGAAAAUUUCAUUAAAAAUUAAGAAGGUUUGAUAUGCGUUGAUUAAAAAGUAAUGACUAAUCAUGGAUAGAAAUUUUUGAAGGAUCAAAAAUCUAAAAAAUAUUUUAAAGGGACUAAAAUCAAAUGUUUGUAUAUUCUUGGAAAUUCUAAGUGACAAUUAUUUCUUUGAAUAAAAGUUCUUCUCUAUUUUCUUGUUAUUUACUUUUAUGUUCUUCUUCUUCUUCUUCUUCUUCUUCCAAACCAAGCCUAGAACCCUAAUCUUAUGUAAAUCUAUUUUCUAAUCUAUUUCACCGUUUUUAUAAUGAAAUAACAAGUAUUAAUCGAAGGACCGAAAGGUGAAGCUUAAUAGUUGUUAUUUCAUCAUCACAAAUAUCAAGCGAAGGAUCGAAAGAUGAAGUUUGAUAUUGGAAUAAGUGAAUUUAGACAAGGAUUGCGAAACAUGAGAAUAUACUAUCAAACCUUGAGAUAUUAAAGUUUCAUUCUUAAAGGGUUUCAAUAGCAAUCAACCAUGAGAAUAGGCGUGGUAGCUAUUGAAAUACAUUCAUUGAGACUGAAAGGAGAUAUGAAAAGCCAAAGAGAUACUUGUCUUUAGAAAAUAGAUCUAACAUAAGAUUUAGGUUUAGUGUUUGGUUUGUGAAGGAUUUGUCACCAAGAUGAACCAAUAAUCCCAAGGCGUUUUUAAUAUUAUUAUUUUCAAUCAAACAAAAUUCCAACUUUUUACCUUUGAAACUUUCAUCUAAUCAUUGUUAAAAGUGAAUCAAAUUCUUAACUCUCUGUCGUAACGAUACUCUUUAUUACUACUUCGGUUAACUGUGCACUUGCGGAUUUGCCCCAUCAGGCAAGAAUCUAUCCUUCUGGGUUUCUCCGUGCUCUGUUUAACUCCUUUACUUCGUGUAUUCUGGGUUUCGGAGUUGACCGUGAAAGACAAGUGUUCGUCCUGGUCAUCUUGAAAGUUUAUUAGAUUUAUCGACUGGUGGUAGUUCUUCCCUCAUUGGUGGUGAAGACAGAAAUUUAGAGUGUCGACGCUUUAUGGUAGGUACUGGUUUCACAUUCCCCCCCAUACUACUUUGGAGAAUCAUGUUGUAGUUACCGAUUUUUAAGGGGAUGCUUUGUAUCACAAGAUGCGGGCGUCCCUUUUUUCCCACUUGAGGCAUUCACCUUCUCAUAGGGAAGAUGUUUGGUGGUUAAAAGAAUGUUCUAAAUCCUGAGCUCACGGUUUCCCCUAUCUUUUCAGGAGGGACGGUUAUGUGCGAAUGGAAAGAGAUGGAAGGUUUUCUCUCUCUGAGUUUGAUUACAACUGGGUCGAUAACGUUGUUAUGGAAACUGUUUCUUAUUAUCAGAUGGCUGCUCAACUGAGGAAAUUUCUUGGGGUUUUCCCAGAUCUUGGAACGUUGAAGGUUCAAAUGGGAUGAAGAGAUCGAGUAGCCAGUAUAGAGGUAUGGUUUCAUCACGUACGAUAUUUUGAAUGGACAGCUGGACGCUUCCGCCCCUUUUAAUGAGUUUGAAUUGGGUGUGCCCCAUCAUCUAAUAAGUGUGCCCUCCCAGCUUCACCCCCUAUACUGGGCCUUUGUAAAGGUCUUUCAGUUUUGGUGUGAGUACAAAGGUCUUUCUUUACCAUGUUCGGGGUUUGUCACGCAACUGAGGCGAUAGUCCAUUGUUGGGUGAAGCUUUACCAAAAAACUAGAUUGUUCCAGGAUUAUGCAGAUUUCCUUAGCAAUUGGGAGCAGAAGUACUUGUUGCUCCGCCCCGUGAGCCGCCGAGCGCUUGAAAGCACAUGUCUUGUCCCUUCAAAUUGUUCGGAUGAGAUGGAUUUAGAUGACUCAAGAUUGGUCGUCGUUCCCACAUAUGGCUUGGCUCAUCGGUCGCUCUUCCAUCAUUUUUGGUCCAGGGACUAUUAUGAUAAUUCGGCCGCCUAUUAUUCCUUUACGGAGGAGGACCUUAAUCCGGCAGGAAGACGCCGGAAAUCUGAUUUAGAGGAGUUCGUUGCGAACUUUGAGUUAGAGUGGGUCCCAGAUCCUAGGUACCCNNNNNNNNNNNNNNNNNNNNNNNNNNNNNNNNNNNNNNNNNNNNNNNNNNNNNNNNNNNNNNNNNNNNNNNNNNNNNNNNNNNNNNNNNNNNNNNNNNNNUUGAAUUUUGAAUAAGACGUAAUCUCUAUUUCUUGAAUAAAUGUAUUAUUCGCAUGUUUAAUUGCUUUAAUAGAAAUAGGAGCGUUACACCUCCCGCUUUAUAUGCUUAUGCAACUGACUCCACUUGUGUAUAUCUACAUACAACUCAACAAAUGCAUAUAUGUGUAUAUGACUCACAACCCACUAUUCAACAACAUUUAUGAUUUAAUUAAAUAAAAGCAUACAUCACAGUCAACAACAGAUCAGUAUAAUUAAUCCAACAAUUUCAGAAAAAUGCACUAUUAAUAAUAAUCAUGCUUAGACAUCAAUAUCAUUCAACAACAUUCAAUUAAUUAACAAUCAGCAUUCAAAACUGGGCAAGUCGCCUCGCGAGUACAUCUACUCGCUAUGGCGAACUCAAGGAUUGGGUUGCUCGCCGUGGCGAACUCAAGGCGAAUGAGAAAAAGGGUGCUUUCGGGAGUUUUGACAUUUUUCUCACUAAAUCUUCAUUUUUAAGCUCCCUAUUCCUCUUUUUAAUCUGAAAAUUGUCUCAGUCCUCUCUAAAAUCAUCUAGGCACUCAAACCUAUCCUUAAUACACCUUAUAACAACAAUUCAAAAAUCAUGAUCUCUUAGGCACAUGCUCGCCGUGGCGAGUGGUUCUACUCGUGAGGUGAGCCAUGAAGUUGUUCACUCGCCGGGGCGAGCGAUGAACAUCAGUACGGGCAGAAUGCAGGUUUUUCCCAAAAAUUUCAUUUUCCUCCAAUUCACUCCCCAAAUUAGUUUACAGAUACGAAAUAACUUGCUGUAUGCACUCAGAACCUAUUUCAAACAUCAAAACAGCAAUCUCUACACUCAAAUCACCCAAAAACCUAGAAUUCAACAUAAACCCCAAAAUUCUCAAUUCUAUCAUAAACCUGUUAAAAUCAAAAUCAGAAUUCUACAACUAUAUUACUGAAGCAAACCUCACCCUUACCUUAAUUCAGAAAGACAAAUGCACAACGAUCGGAUUCUCUUGGCUCUUCUCCCUUGCUCUUGGUUUUUCUCCCAAAACUGACUGUUGUACGUAAAAACAUUUCUGACCUUUCUUUUCCUAACUUCCCAAAAUAUAACUCCCCUUUAUUUCAUUUACUCCCCCUUAAUUCUAUUAAAUCCUAAUUAACUCCCCAACCUCCAAAAUAAUAUUAAUUCACACAUUAUUCUAAUUAUAUUAAAAUAAACUAUAUAAUAAAAUAAUACACACCACAUAAUCAGCAAAUAUUAUUUAAAAUCAUAUAAAAGACUCUAAAUAAUUCAAAAUAAAUAAAAUAACGACUAGGGUGUUACAAUUUUCCUUUUAUUUCCUUGUAUUGUUGGCUUACUCCUUGUUUCCAUUUCUUGCAGAUUGAAUGAGGUACUGAGAUACGCUGAAUUCCUUGAAGCAAAGUGACGUCGUCCCUAUAGUUUCGGGCGGGACGUCAAAUUUUCCAGUUGCAAGGGAGGUCGUUACUCCGAAGUCGGUCGUCAAAUUUUCCAUACCAAUAACCGAACUCUCAUCCAACACCACCAACAAGUCCACCAAUAAAACUUGUUCCCAAACAAGCAAUCUACG